AUACGUAGGGGGCGAGCGUUGUCCGGAAUGAUUGGGCGUAAAGGGCGCGUAGGCGGCGCGGUAAGUCUGGAGUGAAAGUCCUGCUUUCAAGGUGGGAAUUGCUUUGGAGACUGGUUGGCUUGAGUGCGGAAGAGGUAAGUGGAAUUCCCAGUGUAGCGGUGAAAUGCGUAGAGAUUGGGAGGAACACCAGUGGCGAAGGCGACUUACUGGGCCGUAACUGACGCUGAGGCGCGAAAGCGUGGGGAGCGAACAGGAUUAGAUACCCUGGUAGUCCACGCGGUAAACGAUGAAUGCUAGGUGUAGGGGGUAUCGACCCCUUCUGUGCCGCAGUCAACACAAUAAGCAUUCCGCCUGGGGAGUACGGCCGCAAGGUUGAAACUCAAAGGAAUUGGCGGGG
rnacentral:rRNA from 1 species